rnacentral:rRNA from 1 species
CCCCGGCUAACUCCGUGCCAGCAGCCGCGGUAAUACGGGGGGGGCGAGCGUUGUUCGGAAUUACUGGGCGUAAAGGGCGCGUAGGCGGUACGAGAAAGCCCCGGGCUCAACCCGGGAAGGUCCCGGAAAACCAUCGUACUUGAGUGCUGGAGGGGCAAGCGGAAUUUCUGGUGUAGCGGUGAAAUGCGUAGAUAUCAGAAGGAACAUCAGAGGCGAAAGCAACUGAC